CGGAGAUUACCGCUAUCAGGAUCGAUUAAGACAUGCUAGGUGAAUGUGGCUCGUCCGCAUGCCGAACAGCUCAGUAACACGUAGUUAAUCUGCCUCAGGUCGGGAAUAACCUCGGGAAACUGGGAGUAAUACCCGAUAGGUUUUGGAUACUGGAAUGUUCCUAAAUUCAAAGCUCCGGCGCUGAGGAUGAGACUGCGGUGGAUUGGGCUGUUGUUGGUGUAAUGGACCAACAAACCUAUAAUCCAUACGGGCGUUGAGAGACGUAGCCCGGAGAUGUGUUCUGAGACAAGAACACAGACCCUACGGGGUGCUGCAGUCGCGAAACCUAUACAAUGUCUUCACGGACGAUAGGGGAAUCCUGAGUGCCCUAGCAAAGCUAGGGCUUUUAUUUACUUCAAAAGGGUAGAUGAAUAAGCAGUGGGCAAGACGGGUGCCAGCCGCCACGGUAAUACCCGCACUGCAAGUGGUAAUCGCGUUUAUUGGGUCUGAAGCGUUCGUAGCCGGUUUAGAAAAUUCUUGGUGAAAUCCUGUGUAAAACAUAGGGCGUGCCAAGAAGACUGCUAAACUAGGAACCGGGAAAAGCUGAGGGUACUCAUGGGGUAGGGGUUAAAUCCUGUAAUCCUAUGAGGACCACCUGUGGCGAAGGCGCUCAGCUGGAACGGCUUCGACGGUGAGGGACGAAAGCCUGGGGAGCGAACGGGAUUAGAUACCCCGGUAGUCCAGGCCGUAAACGAUGCCCGUUUGGUGUAUCAUUUCCUUCGGGGAGGUGAUGUGCCGUAGCGUAGGCGUUAAACGGGCCACCUGGGGAGUACGGUCGCAAGACUGAAUUUUAUGCAAAUUUACAAAAUUUGCUGAAACAGUAUACUUAAGGGGAUUGGCGGGGGAGCAC
rnacentral:rRNA from 1 species